GCCGCGUCCUGCGCCUCAGCCGCCCCAGAGGAAGCCCCUCCCCGUCGCCCACUCUGAGGAGAGAAAUCUCGCGAGAGCUCGUGGAAGGAGGCGCCCAGGGGCGCGGAGCAAUACAGAUGUCUGAGAGAUACAGAAACUAUCAAUGGCUUGCCUGUUUGACAUCGUACAGUCCACAACUUAA